AACGAACGCUGGCGGCAUGCCUAACACAUGCAAGUCGAACGAGACCUUCGGGUCUAGUGGCGCACGGGUGCGUAACGCGUGGGAACCUGCCCUUAGGUUCGGAAUAACUCCCCGAAAGGGGUGCUAAUACCGGAUAAUGUCUUCGGACCAAAGAUUUAUCGCCUUUGGAUGGGCCCGCGUUGGAUUAGCUAGUUGGUAGGGUAAAAGCCUACCAAGGCGACGAUCCAUAGCUGGUAUGAGAGGAUGAUCAGCCACACUGGGACUGAGACACGGCCCAGACUCCUACGGGAGGCAGCAGUGGGGAAUAUUGGACAAUGGGCGAAAGCCUGAUCCAGCAAUGCCGGGUGAGUGAUGAAGGCCUUAGGGUUGUAAAGCUCUUUUACCCGGGAUGAUAAUGACAGUACCGGGAGAAUAAGCUCCGGCUAACUCCGUG
rnacentral:rRNA from 1 species